AUUGAACGCUGGCGGCAGGCCUAACACAUGCAAGUCGAACGGUAACAGGAAGAAGCUUGCUUCUUUGCUGACGAGUGGCGGACGGGUGAGUAAUGUCUGGGAAACUGCCUGAUGGAGGGGGAUAACUACUGGAAACGGUAGCUAAUACCGCAUAACGUCGCAAGACCAAAGAGGGGGACCUUCGGGCCUCUUGCCAUCGGAUGUGCCCAGACGGGAUUAGCUAGUAGGUGGGGUAACGGCUCACCUAGGCGACGAUCCCUAGCUGGUCUGAGAGGAUGACCAGCCACACUGGAACUGAGACACGGUCCAGACUCCUACGGGAGGCAGCAGUGGGGAAUAUUGCACAAUGGGCGCAAGCCUGAUGCAGCCAUGCCGCGUGUAUGAAGAAGGCCUUCGGGUUGUAAAGUACUUUCAGCGGGGAGGAAGGGAGUAAAGUUAAUACCUUUGCUCAUUGACGUUACCCGCAGAAGAAGCACCGGCUAACUCCGUG
rnacentral:rRNA from 1 species